AGUCUUAUAGUCAAAAAUGACAUUAAAUUGCAAAUUUAAAGGAGAGGUAUCUUUAAGGCUU
rnacentral:tRNA from 1 species